GAUGAACGCUGGCGGCGUGCCUAAUACAUGCAAGUCGAGCGAACAGACGAGGAGCUUGCUCCUCUGACGUUAGCGGCGGACGGGUGAGUAACACGUGGAUCACCUACCUAUAAGACUGGGAUAACUUCGGGAAACCGGAGCUAAUACCGGAUAAUAUAUUGAACCGCAUGGUUCAAUAUUGAAAGACGGUUUUGCUGUCACUUAUAGAUGGAUCCGCGCCGCAUUAGCUAGUUGGUAAGGUAACGGCUUACCAAGGCAACGAUGCGUAGCCGACCUGAGAGGGUGAUCGGCCACACUGGAACUGAGACACGGUCCAGACUCCUACGGGAGGCAGCAGUAGGGAAUCUUCCGCAAUGGGCGAAAGCUUGACGGAGCAACGCCGCGUGAGUGAUGAAGGUCUUCGGAUCGUAAAACUCUGUUAUUAGGGAAGAACAAAUGUGUAAGUACCUAUGCACGUCUUGACGGUACCUAAUCAGAAAGCCACGGCUAACUACGUG
rnacentral:rRNA from 1 species